rnacentral:tRNA from 1 species
GGUAGUUUGGCCGAGAGAUUAGGCGGUGGGUUGUAGCCCCAAAAACAGAGGUUCAAGUCCUCUUCCUAUCA